UACGUAGGGGGCAAGCGUUGUCCGGAUUUAUUGGGCGUAAAGAGCGUGUAGGCGGCCAGAUAGGUCAGCUGUGAAAACUCGAGGCUCAACCUCGAGACGUCGGUUGAAACCAUCUGGCUAGAGUCCGGAAGAGGAGAGUGGAAUUCCCGGUGUAGCGGUGAAAUGCGCAGAUAUCGGGAAGAACACCGGUGGCGAAGGCGGCGCUCUGGGACGGUACUGACGCUGAGACGCGAAAGCGUGGGGAGCGAACAGG
rnacentral:rRNA from 1 species